CCUACGGGUGGCUGCAGUGGGGAAUAUUGCACAAUGGGGGAAACCCUGAUGCAGCGACGCCGCGUGAGUGAAGAAGUAAUUCGUUAUGUAAAGCUCUGUCAGUAGGGAAGAAAGAAAUGACGGUACCUGACCAAGAAGCACCGGCUAACUACGUGCCAGCAGCCGCGGUAAUACGUAGGGGGCAAGCGUUAUCCGGAAUUACUGGGUGUAAAGGGAGCGUAGACGGUGAUGCAAGUCUGGAGUGAAAGGCGGGGGACCAACCCCCGGACUGCUCUGGAAACUGUGUAACUUGAGUGCAGGAGAGGUAAGCGGAAGUCCGAGUGUAGCGGUGAAAUGCGUAGAUAUUAGGAGGAACACCAGUGGCGAAGGCGGCUUACUGGACUGUAACUGACGUUGAGGCUCGAAAGCGUGGGGAGCAAACAGGAUUAGAUACCCGGGUAGUC
rnacentral:rRNA from 1 species